UAAUUUAGAAAGCAAUUUUGUCAUUCUUUGUUUCAAUUUGUUUCAGCUCUCCUAGCUAAAGUCGCACACCUCUGUGAGAUUCGAGGAGUUUUUCGGCCACCUCCGUCCUCCAUUUAUGGAGCCAGUUGCACGGUUGGAUUCAGCUCUUCUUUAGGUUCAAAAUCAUCUCAAGGAUCGAACCCUUAGAUUGUCGGAGUCACCGUCGGUUCUUUGAUGGUGUUGGGUUCUUGCGAGGCAGCGGGAGAUAAGUGUUACGAAAAUGGGAAGUGGGAAAUGUUGGCGAAGCUUUCAGGGAAGAUGGGCUCGACUUCGAUUUGCGCGGGGCUAUUUUGCAGGUGCCAGAGACCUUGGACUCUUGAUCAGAAUUAGACAAAAAGACAACUAUUAGUGAUCUUAAUGAAAG